rnacentral:rRNA from 1 species
AAUUUUUCUCUAUGGGGGAAACCCUGAUCCAGCCAUCCGGCGUGUAGGAUGAAGGCGUUCGGGUUGUGAUGUACUUUUUGCAGAGAAGAAAAGGUAUCUCUUAAUACGAGAUACUGCUGACGGUAUCUGCAGAUGAAGCACCGUCUAACUACGUGCCAGCAGCCGCGGUAAUACGUAGGGUGCAAGCGUUAAUCGGAAUUACUGGGCGUAAAGCGUGUGUAGGCGGUUCGGAAAGAAAGAUGUGAAAUCCCAGGGCUCAACCUUGGAACUGCAUUUUUAACUGCCGAGCUAGAGUAUGUCAGAGGGGGGUAGAAUUCCACGUGUAGCAGUGAAAUGCGUAGAUAUGUGGAGGAAUACCGAUGGCGAAGGCAGCCCCCUGGGAUAAUACUGACGCUCAGACACGAAAGCGUGGGGAGCAAACA